UACAGAGGGUGCAAGCGUUGUUCGGAAUUAUUGGGCGUAAAGCGCGUGUAGGCGGCUUUGCAAGUCGGGUGUGAAAGCCCUCAGCUCAACUGAGGAAGUGCGCCCGAAACUGCAGAGCUUGAGUACCGGAGAGGAUGGCGGAAUACCUGGUGUAGCGGUGAAAAUGCGUAGAUAUCAGGAGGAACACCUGCGGUGUAGACGGCUUACUGGACGGUAACUGACGCUGAGGCACGAAAGCGUGGGUAGCAAACAGG
rnacentral:rRNA from 1 species